rnacentral:lncRNA from 1 species
AUAGUGAAUGAAAGAGCAGCUGUUUGUGGGGGCUGACAGAAGCUCUUGGAAAUGAGUAGAAAUUUGACAUACCUUGUCCAUUGAUUUAGCAGAAAUCUACACUUCAAAAGCUGUCAUCACCCAGCCAUCUAUCACCCUCCUAACAGCCUCAGAGAAGGUCAGACAGAAUGGCUGACUGCCCUGAGUUCUGCAGCAUUGCCAAGAUGUGGAGCUCGGCUGUGGGAACUGUCAGGAGGAAAAGUAACCAUGUCAUCACUGACCUCUCCCUAGGAAAACCCAUGCAAAUGCAGACGAUGUCGAAGACUUGAGGAGGAGGAGGGGAAUAAAUCUCAGUUUGCAGAUGGGCA